CUCGUGUCACUAUCUCUCUUCGGCGACGAUCUCGCCGUUGAACCGCCGGUGAGCUUCUAAUUUGUGUUCGCCGGCGAGGUCGUGUCACCAUUCUCUUCACGCUUCCAUCUUUGUCGUAAGUGUUGGGUGUAGUGAAUCGACUAUGUUCAAUCAGAAAUAGAUGCUGCUUUUAUGGAGAAUGAACUAGCUUGGUGGAAUUAACGUUGUAGAUCCAAAUUUGUAUGGCGAUUUCACAUUUGAUUUGUGUUUAAGGAACACAUAUAUAUGGUAAGGUUGCAUUUGUGUAUCUUAAGCUUUGGUAGUUUGAAUCUCGUCAAUGUAAUUGAAUUAUACUUAGCUUGUGGGGAGUGAAAAUAUAACGAUAAUGGAUCCUGAGAUUUUGCAUUCGAUUGGUACAAUGGAGGAUCUCUUUGUGAAGUUGAUGAUGAUAUCACGUAUAAGGUUUUAGCAAAGAUGGUGACUGAAGUUUUCAAACUGGAUUAAUUAGUCAAUGCUAUCAAACUUAGUUGUGGAGUUCCUGUAAUGAUGAAGAAGAUGGCAUGGGGUUCUCUGUGUAUAUGCAAAAUGAUUGUCAAGUUCAUACGUUUUGUGAAUACCUUCCUGAAGUUCGUGGAAUCCUUCCUGAAGUUCGUGUAAUCCUUCCUAAUUUUUUGGUGUCUUUCUUACUAAUUUGGAUUUCCUUAACAAUAUGUCUUUCUUUCUAAUUUGAAUGUUUAAGUCCUUUUAUUUAUA